rnacentral:rRNA from 1 species
UGGCGGGACGGGGUGGAGUAAUGUCUGGGAAACUGCCUGAUGGAGGGGGGUAACUACUGGAAACGGUAGCUAAUACCGCAUAACGUCGCAAGACCAAGAGGGGACCUUCGGGCCUCUUGCCAUCGGAUGUGCCCAGAUGGGAUUAGCUAGUAGGUGGGGUAACGGCUCACCUAGGCGACGAUCCCUAGCUGGUCUGAGAGGAUGACCAGCCACACUGGAACUGAGACACGGUCCAG